CCUGUUGCUAAAGCAUUGUAGGUGUGGGCUACUGUGUUACACAUGCCAGAAGGUGGCAGAGAGGAGGAGGGAGGUUAUGUCUGUGCUCAGUGUUUUGACCUGCAAACAUCUGAGUAGCCUAACAUU